AGCAGCCGCGGUAAUUCCAGCUCCAAUAGCGUAUAUUAAAGUUGUUGCAGUUAAAAAGCUCGUAGUUGAACUUCAGGCCUGUCCAGACGGUCCGCCUUAAUUGGUGUGUACUGUCCUUGGGUGGGUCCUACCUUCUGGCGAAGCGGCAUGGCCUUAAUUGGUUGUGUCGGGGAACCAGGACUUUUACUGUGAAAAAAUUAGAGUGUUCAAAGCAGGCAAAUAUGCUCGAAUACAUUAGCAUGGAAUAAUGGAAUAGGACGAUGGUUCUAUUUUGUUGGUUCUAGGACCGUUGUAAUGAUUAAUAGGGAUAGUUGGGGGCAUUAGUAUUCAAUUGUCAGAGGUGAAAUUCUUGGAUUUAUUGAAGACUAACUACUGCGAAAGCAUUUGCCAAGGAUGUUUUCAUUAAUCAAGAACGAAAGUUAGGGGAUCGAAGACGAUCAGAUACCGUCGUAGUCUUAACCAUAAACUAUGCCG
rnacentral:rRNA from 1 species